GACGAACGCUGGCGGCGUGCUUAACACAUGCCAGUCGAACGGAAAGGCCCUGCGUGUGUGGGGUGCUCGAGUGGCGAACGAGUGGGUAACACGUGAGUAACCUGCCCUCGCCUUUGGGAUAACUUCAGGAAACUGAGGCUAAUACCGAACAGGAGCUCCUGCUGCACGGUGUGGGUUGGAGAGUUUCGGCGGUUGGGGAUGGGCUCGCGGCUUAUCAGCUUGUUGGUGGGGUAGUGGCUUACCAGGCCUUGGACGGGUAGCCGGCCUGAGAGGGUGACCGGCGACAUUGGGACUGGGAUACGGCCCAGAGUCGUACGGGAGGCAGUAGCGGGGAAUAUUGCAGAAUGGGCGGAAGCCGGAUGCAGCAACGUCGCGUGCGUGAUGACGGCCUUCGGGUUGUAACCCGCUUUCGCCGGUGACGAAGCCGGAGUGACGGUAAUGGGUAAAGAAGCACCGGCUAACUACGUG
rnacentral:rRNA from 1 species